rnacentral:misc_RNA from 1 species
AACUGAUACUACCUGCGGGAACCUGCGGAAGGAUCAUUACAUGAUUUGAGGGGGCUCACGUCCCCUCAUCCAACCCACAAACCCCGAGGAACUUUUAUGUCGAGUGGUUCGGCGCUCUCUUUGAGAGCCGCCCCUCAAACGCAUCGCAGGCUUUUCGUGAAGGUCUGAUGUGUCACAUCGUGAGUAUUAAAACUUUCAACAACGGAUCUCU